UAUCAGCGAUUGCCUCAGCAGCUGCAGAGGAUGCUGCGAAUCAAGAGAGCUGUCGCUGAGACGAGGGAGAAACCCAGCGUUCACAAUUAAACUGCGCUUUUAGAGAGGGAAAUCACGUAAUUUCAACGGAAACACAGAUGGAGAGCCUGCUUCAGAGUGGACAGAAGACCUAAAUCUGUAAAAGAUAUUGAUGAUCAUCUGGACGUCUUUAGGUAGAUGAAUGAUAGGAGUACCCAUCUGUGAACAUGUGCUUCGGACUGUACGCCCAGAGGAUGAAGAGGGUGCAAAUCACACAGAAGAUGAGGGGAGUUUUACGUGCGGGGGGAUGACAGCUACUGUUCUGGCGAUGCUGUAGCAGCACGGAAUGGUUUGUGGGUUACACUGAGAUGCAGGCCAUACUGUGCUGCCGCAGUAAAGCCUGACUACACAUCCUGGCCACCUAGAAGUUCUUCAACCUUUAUUCUGUGACUUAUCUGUCUCAUUUGCUGGUCGCCUUACUGUAGCAGCACGUAAAUAUUGGAGUUAAGACUCUAGCUGAAGCCUCCAGUAUUGAUCGUGCUGCUGAAGCAAAGCUGACCACUCACAACCUGUGCAGCUAACCACUGAGUGGUGGUGCCAAACAGUGGAGAUGCUUACAGGUACAUUGUUUUUGACUUGAACCUCAAACCCUGUUUUUAUGGUAAACAUUUGAAUACAUUUCACAGUUCUGUUUGCAUACUUGGAGAAAUAAAAAAAUUUAAGUGGC